rnacentral:rRNA from 1 species
ACGCUCGACACCUACGGGGGGCAGCAGUGGGGAAUAUUGCACAAUGGGGGAAACCCUGAUGCAGCGACGCCGCGUGGAGGAAGAAGGUCUUCGGAUUGUAAACUCCUGUUGUUGGGGAAAAAGAGGAUGGUACCCAACAAGGAAGUGACGGCUAACUACGUCACGCAGCCGCCGGUAAGUACUGAGCGGGCCGUGGCGAAGGACG